AUGAACGCUAGCUACAGGCUUAACACAUGCAAGUCGAGGGGCAGCAUGGUCUUAGCUUGCUAAGGCCGAUGGCGACCGGCGCACGGGUGAGUAACACGUAUCCAACCUGCCGUCUACUCUUGGACGGCCUUCUGAAAGGAAGAUUAAUACAAGAUGGCAUCAUGAGUCCGCAUGUUCACAUGAUUAAAGGUAUUCCGGUAGACGAUGGGGAUGCGUUCCAUUAGAUAGUAGGCGGGGUAACGGCCCACCUAGUCUUCGAUGGAUAGGGGUUCUGAGAGGAAGGUCCCCCACAUUGGAACUGAGACACGGUCCAAACUCCUACGGGAGGCAGCAGUGAGGAAUAUUGGUCAAUGGGCGAGAGCCUGAACCAGCCAAGUAGCGUGAAGGAUGACUGCCCUAUGGGUUGUAAACUUCUUUUAUAAAGGAAUAAAGUCGGGUAUGGAUACCCGUUUGCAUGUACUUUAUGAAUAAGGAUCGGCUAACUCCGUGCCAGCAGCCGCGGUAAUACGGAGGAUCCGAGCGUUAUCCGGAUUUAUUGGGUUUAAAGGGAGCGUAGAUGGAUGUUUAAGUCAGUUGUGAAAGUUUGCGGCUCAACCGUAAAAUUGCAGUUGAUACUGGAUAUCUUGAGUGCAGUUGAGGCAGGCGGAAUUCGUGGUGUAGCGGUGAAAUGCUUAGAUAUCACGAGGAACUCCGAUUGCGAAGGCAGCCUGCUAAGCUGCAACUGACAUUGAGGCUCGAAAGUGUGGGUAUCAAACAGGAUUAGAUACCCUGGUAGUCCACACGGUAAACGAUGAAUACUCGCUGUUUGCGAUAUACAGCAAGCGGCCAAGCGAAAGCGUUAAGUAUUCCACCUGGGGAGUACGCCGGCAACGGUGAAACUCAAAGGAAUUGACGGGGGCCCGCACAAGCGGAGGAACAUGUGGUUUAAUUCGAUGAUACGCGAGGAACCUUACCCGGGCUUAAAUUGCAGAUGAAUUACGGUGAAAGCCGUAAGCCGCAAGGCAUCUGUGAAGGUGCUGCAUGGUUGUCGUCAGCUCGUGCCGUGAGGUGUCGGCUUAAGUGCCAUAACGAGCGCAACCCUUGUUGUCAGUUACUAACAGGUUCCGCUGAGGACUCUGACAAGACUGCCAUCGUAAGAUGUGAGGAAGGUGGGGAUGACGUCAAAUCAGCACGGCCCUUACGUCCGGGGCUACACACGUGUUACAAUGGGGGGUACAGAGGGCCGCUACCACGCGAGUGGAUGCCAAUCCCAAAAACCUCUCUCAGUUCGGACUGGAGUCUGCAACCCGACUCCACGAAGCUGGAUUCGCUAGUAAUCGCGCAUCAGCCACGGCGCGGUGAAUACGUUCCCGGGCCUUGUACACACCGCCCGUCAAGCCAUGGGAGCCGGGGGUACCUGAAGUGCGUAACCGCGAGGAGCGCCCUAGGGUAAAACUGGUGACUGGGGCU
rnacentral:rRNA from 1 species